rnacentral:tRNA from 1 species
CCUUCGGUAGCUCAGUUGGUAGAGCGGUGGACUGUAGCAUUCUGAAUAUUGAAAUCCAUAGGUCGCUGGUUCAAAUCCGGCCCGAAGGA